rnacentral:rRNA from 1 species
CCUACGGGAGGCAGCAGUGGGGAAUAUUGCACAAUGGGGGAAACCCUGAUGCAGCGACGCCGCGUGAGUGAAGAAGUAUUUCGGUAUGUAAAGCUCUAUCAGCAGGGAAGAAGAAAGACGGUACCUGACUAAGAAGCCCCGGCUAACUACGUGCCAGCAGCCGCGGUAAUACGUAGGGGGCAAGCGUUAUCCGGAUUUACUGGGUGUAAAGGGAGCGUAGACGGCUGUGCAAGUCUGAAGUGAAAGGCCAGGGCUCAACCCUGGGACUGCUUUGGAAACUGUGGAGCUAGAGUGCUGGAGAGGUAAGUGGAAUUCCUAGUGUAGCGGUGAAAUGCGUAGAUAUUAGGAGGAACACCAGUGGCGAAGGCGGCUUACUGGACAGUAACUGACGUUGAGGCUCGAAAGCGUGGGGAGCAAACAGGAUUAGAUACCCUUGUAGUC